rnacentral:rRNA from 1 species
UAGAUACCCCGGUAGUCCUAGCUGUAACCGAUUGAUGCUGGUUGUGUGGGGUGUAAUUUCCCUCUGUGCCGAAGCACACGCGUUAAGCAUCCCGCCUGGGUACUACGGCCGCAAGGGCUAAAACUCAAACGAAUUGACGGGGGCCCGCACAAGCAGCGGAGCGUGUGGUUUAAUUCGAUGCUACACGAAGAACAUUACCUGGGUUUGACAUGCACGUGGUAGGGAACCGAAAGGGGACCGACAUUCGGGAGCGUGCACAGGUGCUGCAUGGCUGUCGUCAGCUCGUGCCGUGAGGUGUCGGGUUAAGUCCCGUAACGAGCGCAACCGUUGCCGUUAGUUACAAGUGUCUAAGGGGACUGCCCGGCACAACUGGGAGGAAGGUGGGGAUGACGUCAAGUCAGCAUGGCCUUUAUAUCCAGGGCUACACACACGCUACAAUGGCCGGUACAAUAGGUUGCGAAGUCGUGAGGCGGAGCCAAUCCUCAAAGCCGGUCUCAGUUCGAAUUGCAGUCUGCAACUCGACUGCAUGAAGCUGGAGUUGCUAGUAAUCGCAGGUCACCUCUCCUGCGGUGAAUACGUUCCCGGGCAUUGUACACACCGCCCGUCACGUCAUGGAAGCUGGCAACGCCUGAAG